rnacentral:lncRNA from 1 species
GCUUCCCAUGAGGUGAAACACAGAAAGGAAUAAUAGUCUCCACCUCAUAGGAGGACAUGCUGUAUCCCAUACCACAUAUUGGUUGAUUCUUCUAACACUUGAAGGACUUCCUGGGAAUUGAGACAUAAAACAACAACAACAACAACAACAACAUACAUCUUGUACUCAAGGAGCCUGUGAGUUCAACAGGCAUCAAAUAGCGUUUUACAUUCUGUUUGGGGAUGGAACUGAAAUGAAGCAAGAGAAUCCAUCAGCGGGGUGUUAAUCAAACACCUACCUUGUGCCCUCUACUGU